UGGCAAUGUUUCUAGGUGGCAUUCAAAC
rnacentral:piRNA from 1 species